GCUGCUUUCGUCUAGUGGUUAGGAUAACUCCUUUACAAAAAAAAUCCAACAUUUUCUAACGGAGUAGAUCGCAGGUUCGAUCCCUGCAAGUAGCA
rnacentral:tRNA from 2 species